AAGAUAGAAAAUGAUGAGGAAAUUACAUGAGAGAAGGCUACUCAGUCCAUAAAAAGGGCUUCUCAUUACCUGUCAGCACUUCAAACUAGUGAUGGUCAUUGGCCCGCUCAACUUGGUGGUUCUAACUUCUUCAUUCCUAUAAUGAUCAUCUCCAUCUACAGUACAGGACAUCUUGAUUCUGUAAUUUCAGAAGAACAUCGUAAAGAAAUUCUCCGUUACGUAUAUAAUCAUCAGAACGAAGAUGGAGGGUGGGGAUUACACAUAGAGGGUCCAAGCACCAUGUAUU